UACGUAGGGUGCGAGCGUUAAUCGGAAUUACUGGGCGUAAAGCGCGCGCAGGCGGUUCUUCAAGUCAGAGGUGAAAGCCCAGAGCUCAACUCUGGAAUGGCCUUUGAGACUAGAGAACUAGGGUACGGGAGAAGUGAGUGGAAUUCCGAGUGUAGAGGUGAAAUUCGUAGAUAUUCGGAAGAACACCAGUGGCGAAGGCGGCUCACUGGCCCGUUACCGACGCUCAGGCGCGACAGCGUGGGGAGCAAACAGG
rnacentral:rRNA from 1 species